ACAGAGGGUGCAAGCGUUAAUCGGAAUUACUGGGCGUAAAGCGCGCGUAGGCGGUUUGUUAAGUUGGAUGUGAAAGCCCCGGGCUUAACCUGGGAGGGUCAUUCAAAACUGGCGGACUAGAAUGUGAUAGAGGGUAGUGGAAUUCCUAGUGUAGCGGUGAAAUGCGUAGAUAUUAGGAGGAACAUCAGUGGCGAAGGCGACUGCCUGGAUUAACAUUGACGCUGAGGUGCGAAAGCGUGGGUAGCGAACAGG
rnacentral:rRNA from 1 species